rnacentral:rRNA from 1 species
GCCGACAGCUAGCUCUCUGCAACUCCCAGAUGGUCGCCCACUGAAGGUAAGCAUGGCUGUGCCCGGUCAGUACCUAGAUGGGAGACCACAUGGAAAAGCUAGGUUGCUGACAGAA